UGGAUAUUGAUUCUCAAACUAAUAAUCAGUUACCACAAGUGAUCACUUCAGAAGAAAUUUCAGCUGCUGCCUGUGAUGAUAAACCUGAUCGCUUGGAAAUUGCUCGGCUUUAUAAUGAGGAUUUUAAAUAGUGCCCCAUACAUGAAGUUCGUAUAAGCUUGUAUUUGGGCUGCUAUUUCAACAUGGGUUAGGGGGUCUUUUGUAGGAUUUUAAAUAGUGCCCCAUACAUAACAUACAGACUGAUAUGUAUCGGGAUUUUAAACUUUCGAUAUAUUUACUGAUAUUGCCCGAUAUCAACUAAUAUAUAAUUGUACUGUCAAUAUCAAUACAUAUUUUGCUACUAGUGAGGUUGAAAAUUGUGAUCUAACCUUUC